GGGGUUGUGGCUCAGUGGUGGAGCUCUCACCUAGCACGUGUGAGCUCUGGGUUCGAUCCUCAGCAUCACAU
rnacentral:tRNA from 1 species